UACGUAGGGGGGCAAGCGUUUGUCCGGAUUUAUUGGGCGUAAAGGCUUGUAGGUGGCCACGCCAAGUCGGAUGUGAAAUCUCCCGGCUCAACUGGGAGGGGGUCAUUCGAUACUGGCGGGCUCGAGGCCGGUAGGGGGAAGUGGAAUUCCCGGUGUAGUGGUGGAAUGCGUAGAUAUCGGGAGGAACACCAGUGGCGAAGGC
rnacentral:rRNA from 1 species